UACCAGCUCCCCGAGUGGUCGUGACUGUUAUUUGGCCUAAAGCAUCCGUAGCCGGCCCUGUCCGUCGUCCGUUAAAACUCGCGGCCCAACCGCUAGGCUGCGGAAGAUACCACAGGUCUAGGGGGCGGGAGAGGUGGACGGUACUCCAAGGGUAGGGGUAAAAUUCUCUGAUCCUUGGAAGACCACCGGUGGCGAAGGCGGUUCUCCAGAACGCUACCGACGGUGAGGGACGAAAGCUGGGGGAGCGAACCGG
rnacentral:rRNA from 1 species